AAUAUCCUAUCUAUUUAUUACUUAUAUAUUUAUUUAUUUCAUCAUAUUAUUUGUGCAGCUUGAAAAUAGUUCAUGACAACAGUCGUGAGAACCAAACUAACCGUGUAUCCUAAAAAAGCACUCUUGAAGUAUUGGGUUUCUUUCCCUCGAAAACAUCAAAUCGUAGUUCCAGUGCCACAAAGAUGCUAGGAAUCACUAUAUUUCCAAGACCAAGCAUUGAAAACGGACGUGCAGAAUCUGAUGUAGGAAACAAUAGCUUUAUAGGAGCUUUAAAAGAAAAAAAAUCUAGAAAAUGUCAUAUAUGAAAAGCCCAGCCAAGAAGAUGG
rnacentral:lncRNA from 1 species